rnacentral:tRNA from 1 species
GCCCGAGUGGCGAAAUUGGUAGACGCAACGGACUUAAAAUCCGUCGGCCCUAAACAGGUCAUGCCGGUUCGAUUCCGGCCUCGGGCA